AAAUGUGAAUUGAAUAAGUCUCAUAUAUGUCCAGAAUAAGGCAGGACGUUUCUACAGGUUACCGUAAAUGACCGGCUAUGAGUAUGAGGUUAAUCUUU
rnacentral:ncRNA from 2 species